GCUGGCGGCAGGCCUAACACAUGCAAGUCGAGCGGUAGCACAGAGAGCUUGCUCUCGGGUGACGAGCGGCGGACGGGUGAGUAAUGUCUGGGAAACUGCCUGAUGGAGGGGGAUAACUACUGGAAACGGUAGCUAAUACCGCAUAACGUCGCAAGACCAAAGUGGGGGACCUUCGGGCCUCAUGCCAUCAGAUGUGCCCAGAUGGGAUUAGCUAGUAGGUGGGGUAACGGCUCACCUAGGCGACGAUCCCUAGCUGGUCUGAGAGGAUGACCAGCCACACUGGAACUGAGACACGGUCCAGACUCCUACGGGAGGCAGCAGUGGGGAAUAUUGCACAAUGGGCGCAAGCCUGAUGCAGCCAUGCCGCGUGUGUGAAGAAGGCCUUCGGGUUGUAAAGCACUUUCAGCGGGGAGGAAGGCGGUGAGGUUAAUAACCUUGUCGAUUGACGUUACCCGCAGAAGAAGCACCGGCUAACUCCGUGCCAGCAGCCGCGGUAAUACGGAGGGUGCAAGCGUUAAUCGGAAUUACUGGGCGUAAAGCGCACGCAGGCGGUCUGUCAAGUCGGAUGUGAAAUCCCCGGGCUCAACCUGGGAACUGCAUUCGAAACUGGCAGGCUAGAGUCUUGUAGAGGGGGGUAGAAUUCCAGGUGUAGCGGUGAAAUGCGUAGAGAUCUGGAGGAAUACCGGUGGCGAAGGCGGCCCCCUGGACAAAGACUGACGCU
rnacentral:rRNA from 1 species